UACGUAGGGUACGAGCGUUAAUCGGAAUUACUGGGCGUAAAGCGUGCGCAGGCGGUUUUGUAAGCCAGAUGUGAAAUCCCCGGGCUUAACCUGGGAAUGGCAUUUGGGACUGCAAGGCUGGAGUGUGGCAGAGGAGACGUGGAAUUCCUGGUGUAGCAGUGAAAUGCGUAGAUAUCAGGAGGAACACCGAUGGCGAAGGCAGAUCUCUGGGCCGUUACUGACGCUGAGGAGCGAAAGCAUGGGGAGCGAACAGG
rnacentral:rRNA from 1 species